CCACCACUUUCCCCAGCUGUCAUUAGCCGGCUCAUAUCUGAAUGAGGCAUUUAAAAGGUUGGUUUAACCUUGCAAAAUGACUGCAUGUCAAAGUUCUAGCAUUUCAGUUCCGAUUAUUCUAGUCCACUGCUUGCUCUGCAGUUUAGCCCCCCCCCUCUCCCUGUGCUUUUUUUAAAAAAUGCGGAGUGUGUGCUACAGCAAUAGAAUAACAACAACAAGAGGAAAGAAGGGAAGGGACAGAAGAGAGAAAAGAAAGAAUCUGAAAAAUGCCCUAACGCUAACCCACCCCCUGUCUGAAAGCAUGCACCGAUUAUGCCCCUUCUGCCAGAUCUAGAAAGCAUGCAUUUUAAGUGCACACAGAGAGAGGCAAGUUGGAUGCAUGCACAAGGAGAGUCCUGCAGCAGGUCUCUUUAAAACAAAGCUAAGCUUGGUGCAGUUGGAAGGGGGGGGAGAGAGAAAGAAAUAGGGAGAGAGAGAGAGAGAAAAGAGGGGAAGGCAGAUAGCAAAAAGGGGGAGGGGGAAUUUAAAAAAAAAAGACAUACCAGUUAGAAGAUUUUCUGUUGCAGCAGUGGAAGUCACCAGAGCACUAGCUGAAAGCUGAAUCAGCUUUCGAGAGUUAGGGAUGCAUAGAGGAGGGUCAUGGAAUCACAAGGUAAUAAUGCGUUGCAUGCAGCAGCCGUCAGCCUUUUCCUUAAAGCUAAUCUCUAAUGCAGGAGGGGAUAGGGAGAAAGUGCGGCCCUGUAAUGGUAUUAGACCUCACUUGAAGAGAGAGAGAGAGAGAGAGAGAGAGAGAGAGAGAGAGAGAGAGAGAAUUGAGGCAACCCCACCCCACCCCCAGCCAUCUUCCACCCUCUCUCCUCUCGCACACAGAAACACCCACACCCCACACCCCACCUCACCCCACAACAGGCACUACUACUACAUCACUAUUCCUCCUGCAGCAUCUCCGGUUAAAGGUAGAGAGGGAGGGGAAGGCUUGCAAGCUUACAGCUGAGGCUGGAGAAACAGAGAGAGAGAGAGAGAGCAGGAAGAGAAGGGUGAGCAGCAGGAGUUCAGAAGAAGAAGAAACCUCCCAUGUGCAGGCAGUCGGACACCUCCAAGUGGGGUGGGGGGGAAGGCUGUCUUGUUUCCAGAAGUCUUUCCUGCCCUCUAUUCCUCUCUCUUCUCUCCCCCCCACUCAACACACCCUCUCGCUUUGCCCACCCACCCCAAUUGCCCUUCCCCGAAAGGUCAGCCUGAGGUAGAGGUCAGGAUGGAACAAAAGAAAGGAAAGAGGAUUUGGGGUGGGGGGAGAGAGAGAGAUUUGAGGGGGGGGGAAUCUGCACGCACUCGAGAGGUGCAGGGCAAAGCAAGCUGAUCAGGAAAUGAGUCCACCUUUCUAGUGCUUAUAUACCCGGUGAAGCAUUUGAAACAUGCACUCGAGGCAAGUGGCCCCUUCCCCUGCCAUUCCCUCCCUGACCAUAUUUAGUCAACCAUGGCAAAAAAUAGCCUGCCAGCUGGGGAUGGCCGAGCGGGGAGUAUUUGCAGUUCAAUCCCUGCUCUCAGCCCAUUGACUACUAGCCCUGCAGGGUCCUGACUCUGCCUCUUUUUGUAUACCCCCCCUUACCCUCUCUCUCUCUGUCUCUUCUUCUCCUCCCCCCACCCCCACCCUCCGCCCUCCACCAGCCCGACGUGCCUAUUUUUAGCUAGGCCAAAUAAAGAGCCCACUCGGCUUACCACUCGCGGUCCAUCCCAUGGCAUCACUAGGCCCUGGCUAUGUAUGGUCAGCUGUUGCUCAAAGGCUGAUAUGAACAAGGGACAGGCCAGUGCUUGGCAGUGGGGGGACGAUGACGACUUUGUGGUGACCACCUGGGGCUCCACCUCUUCCUCAGGUGACCCCCCAUGUGGUGGAAGGCCGGACGCUUCUACGGUUGCUUGCUUUUUGUGAGAGGGAGGAUUUGGAAGGCUUCCCCCCAUCGCCGCAUCGCUGCCGUGCGUCAAAAUGAAUAUUCCAAAUGAUAGCACUGUUAUUUGCUACCAUGCCGCGAUUAAAGACGCAAGGCUUUUCCCCUCCUCUGUGGCAUCUGCACAUCCUUAUCCUGUCCUGGCUCCUUCAUUCUUUCCUUUUUCUCUGCCUCUCCUGCCUCCUUCCUGGAUGAAAACAUCUCCAGAAGAUGUGGCCAAAGAAUUGGCAAGGCAUGGCUGGACAGGAAGGCCAUGACUUUUAUUUCUAUGAAAAUUACUUGUGUGUUUUUCUGUUUGGUGUUAAGGACCUUUGAGUCAAAUGUUGUCACAUGAAGGUAGCCUACUUAGCAAUGAACAAAAACGUACUCGUGUAUACAAAGACACACACAGACACAAAGCUUUUUCAGAAGUAACAUUCCGUUUCUACUCGCAACCGGGAAUAUGGAUUUGGAUGGAUCUGUCAAUUCUGGUUCCUCUUCAUUUCUCCUUUUCGUUUUCGAUCUAAAGUUCAGUUCUCCACAAUUCGACAUCAGUUGCGAUUUCUUUCCAAAUAAGUCCUCUUGAAAAUUCAUCAGCAUUUUAGUGUGAACUAAUAAUAAUGAUAAUAAUAAUAAUAAUAAUAACUUGUGCCACGCCUAUCUGACUGGGUUGCUGCAGCCACUCUGGGCAACUUCCAACAGAACAUAAAGAACACACGAUACAUCAGAUACACCUGCUUGUAUGCAUUUUUGCCCAAUAUACACAUUUUUUUGCAAAGCGGAGGUCUCUAAAAUAAUGCACCUCUCUAUAUUAUUUUCACUUAGGUAUGAAUUUCUGUGCACACCUUACCUAAUUAUAUGCAUUUUUGUAUGCUUUACUUGGCUCUGCAAAAUUCACUACAAAAUUCAGAGAAGCUUGAAUUUCAAGCAUGUGAAUUAGGUAGGUUCACCUUUGAAUGACUAGGACCUCAGAGAGCCGGGUUCAAGCACCUCUUUAGCUGAGUUAUUGGGCCAAUUGCUAUUCCUCAGUGCAGCCAAUCUUGCAGGGUUGCUCUGGGGACAAAAUGGGAAGAGAACCAUGUUUGUCUCCUCGAGCUCAAAGGAGGAAAGACAGGAUAUAAAUGAAAGAAAUGAAUUUCCUCUUACUCCUGGCAGGUGUACUUACAGCUUAACCUUUUCCCCCUAUGAUGUCCUACACAAAAUGGGAGGACAGAGUAAGUAUCAGAACGCUUUCCCUGAUUGGUUGUGCUGUGCAAGCUGAACAUCAUUUCUGCCUAUUGCAGCUAUUUCAGCAUCAAAUGGUGACAUGGGUGGGCAUCUACAAAGGGCCCAAACCAUACCUUACCAGUGGGUGCUCUAGACCUGCUGCAACAAACAGGGAGACACAGAAGGUGGGUCACAGAGGGUAUAUUGCCCAAAGGUCCUCCAAAACCUGGAGAUGACUUUGCUCUCAUCUAGUCAACAAACCUAAUGGCACUGUACAGGGGGUAGAGCAACAGACCAGGGAGGGUCUUCUCAUGGGUAAGGUAAAGGCAAAGGGGACCCCGACCAUUUGGUCCAGUUGUGGACGACUCUGGCGUUGCAGCGCUCAUCUCGCUUUAUUGGCCGAGGGAGCCGGUGUACAGCUUCCGGGUCAUGUGGCCAGCAUGACUAAGGCGCUUCUGGUGAACCAGAGCAGCACAUGGAAACGCUGUUAACCUUCCCGCCGGCGGGGUACCUAUUUAUCUACUUGCACUUUGACGUGCUUUCAAACUGCUAGGUUGGCAAGAGCAGGGACUGAGCAACAGGAGCUCACCCCGUUGCAGGGAUUCGAACCGCUGACCUUCUGAUCGCCAAGUCCUAGGCUCUGUGGUUUAACCCAUUAAUUCUCAUGGGAUUAAUGGUAUAUUUCCCCAAGACGCUUCUACUGUAAUGCAUUGCAUAUCAGGUGGACUAUGGAUGUCUCACUAGAUAGGGAAGAAGACCACCAAGUCUUCCUGUCUCUCACUGAUGGACAAAGAACUGGAACUAUGGCUUUGGUUUCUAUACUUUUAUCAAUAUUUGCAUGCGGGUACUGCCAUUAUACAUACUGUAUCUAUGGGGCAACCUCGUUGGAAUGCUAUGUACAGCUGUGGCUGCAUCACUUCAAAAAUGGUGUUUUGUUGCUGGAAAAGAUACAGAAAAGGGCAACCAACAUGAACAAACAGAUGGAGCAACUCCCACAUGAGGAAACGUUUACAACAUUUGGAGCUUUUUAAUUGAGGAAAGAAGGUAAUUUAAGGGGCAAUAUAAUAGAAACUUGCAUAAGAUUAUGCAUAGUGAAUGUGGAGAAUUUCUCCCCCCUUUCAUAAUACUUGAACCCAUUCACACCAUCCAAUGAAGAUGAUGGUUGGAAGAUUCAGGACAGAGCAGAGUUUUUAUAUGUAUCCUGAAUGAAUGUAUGGAAGCUGUGGUCAGGCAGUUAUGGCUUAACAGAUUGAAGCUGAAGCCAGACAAGGGUAGUGUUUGAAAGUUCUCCAUGGGUCGUCAAGGAAGCUGGUUUACUGUUUUGUCCUCUAAACAAGUUCAGAGUUGGGCGAAAAAAUAGCCUCCCCAAAAUUCUCCAUCCUUUUUUGUGAAUGGAGAAUGUGUGCAAAAGAAUUGCAGAAUAUUUAGAAUAUUAUCUGGCGGUGGGGGAAAUUCUUCAACAGGUUUGGAAUACCUGAAAAAGUUUUUUCUCCAUUGAGAAAUUGAGGUCUGCUUCAUGGAAUUGUUGCUAGUUCAUACUGGUGGCUGAAGGAAGUGAUGGGCUUAGAACUCGAAGGAGUGGGGGCCAAGUCCAUUAAUUCCUUCAACAAUAUUAAAAUAAUACGUUAUUAAUAGUAUUAUUAUUCUUUGGUGAUCACUCGUAGCCAAAUAAGAUUGUCUUCCAUGAACACAAUCUUAACGAUGUGUCCGUAGGUGCCUGUGGAGGCCAAUUCUGGAUCCACAUGUCCUUCCGCAGUGGGGACAUAGGUUUCUGGGCAGGAGUUGAUCACAAUGAUGGUUUGCCAAGCAUGCCUUCCUCUUAGCACGUUUCUCCCUUUCAUUCUGAGUUUGAGCGUCUUCAAAGCCCAUGACACCUUUGGUAAAGGCUGUUCUCCAAUUGGAGCUCUCGCAGGCCAGUGUUUCCCAGUUGUCAGUGUUUAUACUACAGUUUUUUAGAUUUGCCUUGAGAGCGAGUCUUUCAACCUCUUUUGUUGACCACCAGCAUUGCGCUUUCCAUUUUUAAGUUCAGAAUAGAGUAGCUGCUUUGGAAGACGAUAAUCAGGCAUCCAAACAGACCAACGAAGUUGAUGGUGAAGAAUCAUUGCUGGUGAUCUUUGCUUCUUCCAGUACACUGACAUUAGUUCACCUGUCUUCCCAAAGGAUAUGUGAAAAUUUUUGGAGACACCAUUGAUUUAAUCUUUUGAGUUGGAGAUGGCAUUUAUAAGUGGUCCAUAAUUAAAGUUAUGCAAGUUUAUCCACAGGCAGAGAAGUGCACCCUCCUGCCCUCUUAUGUUCCGAAGAUGGGGGCUGAAGCGCAGGCCUUUCCCGUUUUGGUUCCCCACAUUUGGCGCACCCUUCCCAGGGAGGCUCACCUGGUACUCAGUAUCUUUCCAAAGCCUUUUUAUUAGCCUAGUCUUCCUUGCAUAUCAGCUGUGUGGUUUUAAUCUGAUAGCUUUUAUUGCUUCUGCUGGUGUCAGUCUUUUGACUGCUCUGCUAUAAUGUUUUACAUCUGAUUGCAAAUUGCAUAUAUAUAUAUAUAUAUAUAUAUAUAUAUAUAUAUUUAAAGAAGUGUAUGCUGGCUACCCUGAGAGCUGUUGGCUGAAGAAUACCAUUUCCCCCCACUAUGAACAAAUCAGAUAUGCUUAUGGAGAGCAUCACUGAGGGCCAAGGAAGGAGCAUUUCCCUGAACGGGGGAUGAGAUUAUGUAUUGUGGAGCAAUGGGGUGACACUCCUUGUCUUUCCAAUGCAUGCCAUGAGCGCAGUUUCAUUGCUCCUCGCAGGUGCCAGAAUCCAAGGGGCAUCAACCAGCUGCCUUAGCAACUGGGGCAUAUUCCCUGUCUUGCAAUUAAACUUCCUGCAAUGGGCAGUGAAGGAAGACCACACACCACUCAUGUCACUUCAGAAUUAACUCCACACUCCCUCCUUUCCAGUGGCUGCAUCUGUCCAUUUCUUCCCCUGGAGAUCUUUCAUAAGUGUGAUCUACUCAUGUAAGCCACAUAACCUGUGGAUUUUGUAUCCAACUAAAGCAUUGCAGCUGGUUUGUCCGGGAGUUUAAAGGAUCCUGGAGCAUUUGAGUUGUUAGAGGAGCUCAGAGCAAAAGCCUUGUAGACUAACCUUCCAAUGUUUUAUCUUGAGGCUCUCUAGUUGUUUUGGUCUACCAUGCUGACUUCUUUUUCAGGCUAACCUUGAUCGGAAUUUAUGAGCAGAGUAGAAUACUGUUUCAUUCUACUAUUCUGCCUUGAAACCUGGCAACCAUAUAUGACUUAUAGGGUUUUCUACCUAGUUUUACUCUCACUCAUUUAAUUUAGCCCCUACUUCAUUCAGUUCUCUUCCUUGGUUCCACUUCCCAUGCCCCCUUAUUCCUACUUCCCAGAGCCCCCAAUUCCUCCUUUCUAUGGACCUCUUGUGGGAAUGUUCAGGGAGGCAGGAGAGGAUAUAUUGUUUAUUAAUAUCCUUCUUAACUUGUGCUAGCAGGUUCCUUUACUUAGCAGAGUUUCACAUUCCCCUUUUAAACACACAGCGGGGAGUUGGUUGCAGGCUUGUGUAAGCCUCUCACUAUUAGGUUCCUGGUAAGUUCCCUUAUAUCCCUCUUAAAAGAAUAAACACGCCACAACCUUGUGUAAAGUAAAUAAAAGUAGUUUACUCACAUUCAGUUCACAGCUGGAUCCCUGAAUGCAGACUUAGUUACAAAGUACAGUAUAUACAUGGGGAGCUAUCCCAUAUGGGGAUAAUCCCAGUGUCCUCUGUUGGCUGGAAGCCGACAGAGCAUCUCUAGCUAAAAAGCUGCUCCAACGAUGGAGGAAGUCAAAAGAGAGAAAGAGAGAGAGUGUAGCAUGCCCUGCGCUUUUGUUACUUGGACACACAAGGUCACAUCCACCUCUAGUCACAUGCAAAGGAAGCAUCUCCUAGCCAGGAGGAGACAGGAAGUUUUCGACUGGCUGGACAUAACAUUCCCCUGCAUGUCCACUCUAGGAAAACAAGGAAUGUUGUACUUGACUGCUACUUACGUAUCACAUCCCACACCUCUGACCUCUGUAUCCAUCACUUUCAACUUGGGCACCUCCACUGCCUUAACUCCUGCUUCUUUUCCCCUUCCCUACCCUGCCCACUUGAUCAUGUCUCUGCUUCCCUUUCUCCUCAUCCUGCUUUCUCAACACCUCCUUUCCUUUGCCUAAUAAAUCUCCUGUUUGCUUUCUCAUAGAAUCAUAGAGUUGCACGGGAUCCCCAAGGAUCAUCUAUUCCAACCUGCUGCAAUGCAGGAAUCUCAGCUACACCAUCCAUGACAGGUGGUCAUCCAGCCUCUACUUAUAAAUCUCCAAGGAAGGAGAGUCCACAACCUGCCAAGGGUGACCGUUCCACUGUCAAAAAGCUCUUACUGUCAGAAGGAUCUUCCUGAUGUUUAGUUGGAAUCACCUUCUGGAAAAAUUGGUUCGAGUCCUAUCCUCCGGAGCAGGAGAAAACAAUCUCGCCCCAUUUUCCAUGUGACAGCUCUUCAGAUAUUUGAAGGUCCAAUAUACCUGAAGGAGCAUCUCCACCCCCAUCGUUCUGCCUGGACACUGAGGUCCAAUGCCAAGGGCCUUCUGGCGGUUCCCUAGCUACGAGAAGCCAAGUUACAGGGAACCAGGCAGAGGGCCUUCUCAGUAGUGGCACCCGCCCUGUGGAAUGCCCUCCUGCCAGAUGUCAAAGAGAAAAACAACUAGCAGACUUUUAGAAGACAUCUGAAGGCAGCCCUGUUUAGGGAAGCUUUUAAUGUUUAAUAGACUAUUGUAUUUUAAUAUUCUGUUGGAAGCCACCCAGAGUGGCUGGGGAAAGCCAGACAGAUGGGUGGGG